CUAUCCAUGCCAUCAUGAGAGUGGCCACUCUCUACCAUGGGCUGCUGGUCCUGGCUUUCAUUGGACUCUGUGACACUAUUUUUGUCAUGCUGACUCCAAACAUAUUGCGGGUUGGCACCAAGGAGAAUGUGCUUCUUGAGUCUCAUGACUUCUCUGGCGACACAGAGGCACACAUAGUGGUCUUAAACUUUCCAAAGAAAUCUCAUGAGCUCUACAGAGGAACAGUGACUCUGAAUUCAAAUAACAACUUCCAGGCUCUGAAAACUAUUGAGAUUUCUGCUAAUCAGUUGCAGGCGAACCCUCGUGAGAAGCAAUAUGUUUAUCUGCAAGCUAUUUCCCCACAUUUCCUUCUAGAGCAUGUUGUCAUGGUGAGUUUCCACUCUGGGUACAUUUUCACCCAGACAGACAAACCCAUCUACAACCCAUCUGAAACAGUUCACAUCAGAACUUUUGCCAUGACCCAAGCCCUGGCAUCGACCAACAACUCAGUGACAAUUAUGAUUAAGAAUCCAGACAACAUUGUUUUCGAGGAAGUAACCAGGGUGGCUAGUAGUGGUAUCGUUUCCUACAGCUAUAAACUUCCUGAGGUUGUGAAUGUGGGAAUUUGGAAGGUGAUUUCUAAAUAUCACCAGAAAGAAUCAGAAUUUGUAUCCGAAUUUGAAGUGAAGGAGUACGUGCUCCCAAGUUUUGAAGUCCAGCUGAAUCCUCAAAAAAAGUUCUUCCAUGUGGAUGAUAAUGAACUUAAAGUGACGAUUGUUGCUCGUUACCUGUAUGGCGAGGAUGUGGUGGGAGUGGCCUAUGUGGUUUUUGGUGUCAUUGUGAACGGCACAAAAAUAACUAUCCAAAGAGCUCCACACAGAGUGGAUGUUUCAGGAACAGGGACAGUCAGUUUAUUAAAAUCUGACAUCGAAAGCAUCACCACAAAUGGAAAUAUUAGAGAUUUGGUUGAUUACUCCAUUUACAUCAGGGCCACCGUCUUAACGUCUACUGGCAGUGAUUUGGUACAGGCAGAGACAAGUGGACUCAAGAUAGUCACCUCUCCCUAUAAAAUCCUCUUCACCAAAACCUCCAAAUACUUCAAACCUGGAAUGCCAUUCGAUGUCUUGGUUUUUGUGACAAAUCCUGAUGGCACCCCGGCAAGAGGAAUUCCAGUGAAAGUCACCCCAGAAGAAAGUCAUGGAGUAACCCAAAGCAACGGACUGGCUAGACUAGUGGUUAACACAAAAGGUGGCAUUGAAGAACUGAAAAUCACUGUAAAAACUUUUGAUCCAAAUAUUCAGAAUGAUCAACAGGCAUCAAAUGAAAUGACAGCUUCCCCAUACAAACCCAAAAACAUGGAUUUCAAAAACUACUUGUACAUCAAUAUAAGGGCAGCAGAAAUGUCUCCGGGAGAAGACCUUCAUUUUGAAAUCAAUCUCCAGAAUGAUGACAGCACUGUAAAAAACGACAUUGAAUAUUUUUCAUAUCUAGUUAUAAACAAAGGGAGAAUAAUCCAGACUGGGAGGAAGAAACGAGACGUAGGACAGAUUGUGAUCGCCAUGUCUCUGACCGUCACAAAGGCAAUGGUCCCGUCAUUCCGAAUUGUGGCAUACUAUUACGUAAAAAAGGGUGGCCAAGAAGAACUAGUGUCUGAUUCAGUGUGGGUGGACGUGACAGACUCUUGCAUUGGAGAGCUUCUUGUGGAGCCUCACCGUUCUACUGACGUGGGCAAGAUUUACAGACCUGGCAAUUCUUUUGAACUCAAAAUUAGCGGUGACCCAGGAGCAAAAGUGGGGCUCGUGGCCGUGGAUAAAGCUGUGUUUCUCUUAAACAAUAAGAACAAGCUGACACAGAGCAAGAUCUGGGAUGUGAUUGAGAAGGAUGACCUAGGCUGUACCCCGGGUGGAGGUGGUAAUAGCAUGGGGGUCUUCACUGACGCUGGGCUGCAAGUGAAAACAAACUUGGAUAUUGCCACACAACCAAGAACAAACCCUAAAUGCCCGGAACCACAAAAAAGACGACGCCGUUCAGUGAUUCUGAUAGAGCACAAAACAAACCUAGCGAGUAAAUAUAAGGACGAGACUCAGAACAAAUGCUGUCGAGAUGGUAUGAACGACAUUCCCAUGGAUUACAGCUGUGAGAAGAGGGCCCAGUACAUCACAGCAGGCGACGAGUGCAUCAAGGCCUUCCUGCACUGCUGUACGGAGAUCAGCAAGAGAAAGAAAGAAAUGCAUACUGGGACACUGGAGCUGUCUCGAAGUCAGGAGUCAGACAUGGUUUCUGAGGAUGAUGUCAGAAUCCGGACACACUUUGACGAAAGCUGGCUGUGGCAGGUGGAAACAUUAUCAUGGGAUCCCAAGGGCAAUCGUCUGUCUUCUACAAAGGUGAAAGGGACACUGAAGGAUUCCAUCACUGAAUGGGAGAUCCUGGCCAUCAGUAUUUCCCCAGAUAAAGGUAUCUGUGUAGCCAAACCCUUUGAUUUGAUAGCCAAAAUGGAAUUCUUUAUCGAUUUGAAGCUGCCCUACUCCGUAGUUAGAAAUGAACAAGUUGAAAUAAAGGCAGUACUCUACAAUUAUGGCAGUGAUCGACUUAAGGUCCGUGUGGAUCUGAUGGAAAACAGUCUUAUCUGCAGCGCAGCAAGUCACAAAACCCGGUUCAGACAGGACGUGUACAUCGAUGAGUUGUCGUCACUUGCCAUCCCCUUCACUAUAGUGCCUCUGCACUUGGGAGAGAUGGAUAUUGAAGUGAAAGCCAUCGUCUACAACAACAUAUUAUCUGAUGGAGUGAAGAAAAAAUUGUUGGUGGUGCCUGAGGGAACCCUAAUCAAAAAACACAUUCAAACUGUUAUUUUGAAUCCAGCAGCUGCAAAAGGUGCAAAACAAGUCGUGUCAUUUGGUAAAAUUAAUCUCAACUCAGUUGUUCCUGACACUAAACCUCAGACCUUCAUCGACAUCCGAGGUGAGCUUCUAGCAGAAACCGUUGAUCAUUCUAUUGACGGAAAUAUACUGGUACACCUCAUACGCAUGCCUGGUGGUUGUGUGGAGCAGAACAUGGCAAGUAUUACUGCCCCUGUGAUUGCAACUCACUACCUGGACAAGAGUUACCAAUGGGAAUCGGCAGGGUUUGAACGACGCCAGCAAGCCAUUAAGUUCAUUCAGCAAGGAUAUCAAAAUCAACUGGCAUAUCGCAAACCAGAUGGCUCUUAUCCACCGUACAGAACAAUGGAGUCUAGCACCUGGCUGACGGCAUACGUAGUUAAGGUGUUCUCUAUGGCUUCUUCCUUAAUAUCAGUACAGGAAGAUAUGCUGUGUGAAGCUGUGAAAUUUCUGAUUCUGAAAAAACAGCUACCGAACGGAGCCUUCACAGAAGAUGCCCCUGUUACAGAUGUUUACAUAACGACGGGAGGAUUAAAGGGAGGCGAGGGCCAUGUUACUCUCACUGCGUUCAUCGUCAUAGCCAUGGCAGAGGCUCGACCUUUUUGUGAACACUCUGUACCCAGUCUGAGAAGCAGCAUUGACAAAUCCGUCCUCUUUUUGGAGGUUCAACUUCAUGGCCUUCAAAGGCCGUAUUCUGCAGCGAUAUCCUCAUACGCAUUAGCCCUCGCAAGAAAUGGAAACCGGGGAAAUAACCUUAAGGAAUAUCUCAUGAGGUUUGCAUCAGCAGAUAAGACUUACUGGCCCGAACCUGCUAGCAGGGAGUACACAUUGGAGGCCACAGCCUACGCACUCUUGGCUCUUGUGACAAUUGGAGAAAAGCAGUCUGUGGAGCCCAUUGUGGAAUGGCUGUUACCACAAAUGAGGUCUGGUGGCGGAUUUGGCACAACACAGACCACCAUGAUCACUUUCCAGGCACUGGCUGCAUAUAUGGAGACUGUACCUCAGGAUAGAGAUGUGGAUCUGGAUGUUGCAAUCACCUUGUCUGGCCGGAGCAAGGAUGUGAGCUGGAAGUUUGUCCCUAGUAAUGUUUAUGUGGCCAAAUCACAAAGGGCAAAUAUUGACCAGAACAUCACUGUGACUGCUUCAGGGAAAGGCAAGGGUAUCAUGACAGUGACGACAAUCUAUAAUGCUUUGCAAGAUGAGCAGGUGGCAAAGGAUGAUUGCAAGAAAUUUGUUUUGACAACAGAGAUUACCAGGGCAUCAAAUGUUUUGCAUGCACCUUCUGGAGCCCAUGAAACAUAUACACUCAAGAUCUGCAUGCAGUAUCAGGAUGAGAAAGACUCCACAAUGACGAUAUUGGACGUAUCUAUGCUAUCUGGCUUUGCAGCCGAUCUAGAAGACCUUAAAAGACUGACAAACCAAGUGGACCAGUAUAUCCAGAAUUAUGUGAUUGAAAGAGAACUGACAAACGGGUCCCUCAUCAUUCACCUGUACCGGGUUCCACAUAAGAGCCUAGAGUGCAUCAGUUUUAAUAUACAUCAGAUGUUCAAGGUGGGAAUGCUACAGCCUGCUGCCAUUACUAUCUACGAGUACUAUUCACCCGAGAAUCGAUGUACGAAAUUCUACCACCCGGAUAAAAACCCAGCUGUCCUUUCGCAGAUUUGUAAGGGAGAAGUCUGCAAAUGUGUUGAAGAAACCUGCAGUUCUCUUAUUAAACUGAAUAAAUCGAUUACUUCGAGUGACCGACAGAAAGAAGCAUGUAAACCAGGAGUUGAUUAUGUGUACAAAGUAAGAGUAGAGGAGAUUGAUCUAUCAAAGGGAUAUGAUGAGUACACUAUGGAAGUAGUAGAGGUCAUUAAACAAGGUAUUUAUUCACUUUUGCACUGUUUUAUUUUAGGAAGAAACACUGCGUAAAAUAGAUUUGGUUGCAGAAGUUCCUAAAAAAAUGACUAUCAAAGAGGUAUUAUGCAAUGGGUUAGGGUUAGAGUUAAGGUAAAUGUAUAUAUGACGUUUGGUUUUGGAUUUGAAAUGUAAUAAUUUAAUACAUAAAUUGUACAUGUGUCAUCAGCCAUCAAUUAUUUUUUAAUUUUCAGUUUGUAACCAGUGAUGUACAGUAGAAACAAUAGGCACUCAGUUGUGAAAAGGUUAGACCACUUUGUGCUUUAAUUAGCCAUCAUAUAUCAUUUCUAUUUGUGGCUAUGUGUUCCUUUUCCGACAGGUGGAAUGGGUGCAAUUUAAGUAAAGGUAAAUGACGCAGAUGACAGUAUUUACGUCAUUUCAGGACUUGAUCAAGUGACAGGUGGGAUUGAAAGGUAGUAAAUCAAAACAGAGAUGGAGAAACAAGAUACAUAAUAGAAGAUAACAAUAAAGCAAGUACGUGAGGACAUGGUAAAAAAAGUGAUUUUAGGGAGGUCAUUUUAAUGUAGCCUAAUUUUGAAUGUAUGUUCUGUAUUAAUUAAAUUAUAGUUUCAUCUACCUGGUUUUGGCAGAUAUUUUAUACCAAAACGAAAAAUAAAUUCAGAGAGAGAGAGAGAGAGAGAGAGAGAGAGAGAGAGAGAGGUGUUUAAUUAUUUAUUUAUUUAUUUCCAUUUUGGCAUAAUAGGAUCUCAUACAAACAACCGUGGCAAAGAUUGCCAGGGCUGUGAGUGAUACCGGCAAUGCAGGACCCCUCAGGGUGCUUGACUCUAAAGAAUGACAGGGCGAUGAAUGAUACCGGCAAUGCAGGACCCCUCAGGGUGCUUGACUCUAAAGAAUGACAGGGCUGUGAGUGAUACUGGCAAUGCAGGACCCCUCAGGGCACUGAUGUGUUCCACGAUGAUAGAAAAAGGACAUACACGGCUCACAGCAGCUGCAGACAGCCUCUGGAUCUAAGGAAGGGCAGAC